rnacentral:rRNA from 1 species
UACGUAGGGCGCAAGCGUUUGUCCGGAAUUAUUGGGCGUAAAGAGCUCGUAGGUGGUUUGUUACGUCUGCUGUGAAAACCUAGGGCUUAACCCUGGGCUUGCAGUGGAUACGGGCAGACUAGAGGUAGGUAGGGGAGAAUGGAAUUCCUGGUGUAGCGGUGAAAUGCGCAGAUAUCAGGAGGAACACCGGUGGCGAAGGCGGUUCUCUGGGCUGUAACUGACGCUGAGGAGCGAAAGCAUGGGGAGCGAACAGG